rnacentral:lncRNA from 1 species
GACGUGAGGCUGGAGUGGCUGCAGCCUCUUGCAGACAGUGGAGGCUCAGGCUAAGCCAGCAAGACCAAGAGGAGCACGGAGAGCUGGCAAGACGCUGGCCCGAUGAUAUCGCCUGAGCCGUGAAUCCUCCUGGCCAACGCCAGGGCUUCCUCAGGCUUUGUCAUUGCAGGGACACUUCCCUCCCUCCCUCCUUCUCUGUCUCUCUCCCCACUGCCUCUCUUUCUAGCUUAAGCCAAUUUGAGAUGGAUUUUCUGUCACUUGCUGUUGAAGGAGUCCUGGUCCAGCCCAGGUGGAUUUCGUGCAAAUGAAACCCACAUAAUGCAAGUCUGUGUGGAAGUGAUCGUCUGCGAUCGGCGCGUGCCCUUCGCCUUAUGAACAGGAGCCAUGGGUGACACGAGCGCCUCGGCUGGGCCGCCGGGGUCCGUCUGAGGUCCAUCUGUCUCCAGGGCACAGACCCCAGGCCUGGACAGAGCCGGGCACGUGUGAAACGGGAAGAUGUCAGCUGGGGAACCGGCCGCAGCUCCCAACCUUGAUGAGGAAAGAAACCUGGUAGCUGUUCCUGCAGAAAAGCCACAUGGCUCGCCGCCUAUCUCCACGAUGGUACCUGGCUUCUCCCAUCCUCACCGUCCACGUCUACUCCCUUCCCAUCCCAGACCCGAGACGCAGAAGGCUUUAGACAGAGCAGCUUCAUCAGGAAUCUGGACUGGGCUGAGGUACCUGCUCCCAGCUCCUCAAAGUGCCAUCCGGCACAUCCACCCACGUGGGACAAGAUGCAGCUUCCGUGGCUGCUUGCAGGGGAUGGAAGACUCCCACAGACGCCUGCUAACAUCACAUGCCCAAGUGUCACCGCGAUGCCACGUCCAGUCUGAGCCAUUCCUCGCCCAUGUCCCUGUCCUUGUUGCAUAGCCGGCCUCCAGCGUGUGGCUUCGUGCAGCGACCAGACCGUCGUGUGACUUUCUGCCACGGUUGCUGGGGUUGGCACUGGGGCAGACCUGCUGGGGGGUUCUGGGUUGCAGCUGGAGCGCUGGGACUGGCAGGACGCCUCUCUUCGUGCUGCCCCAGGGCCCAUCCACGUCGACUCCCGGCGUGAAGCGUGUGGGCUGCCUCACAGCCUGGCAGCUCCAGGACUGCUGGGGGCUCCCCCCGCGGCCCCGGCUCUGCUGGCAGCACUGGGCCAGAAGCAACUCACCUUCACACAGCCGCCCUGAAGGCACGUAGGUUCCGGAAGGGAACCUUGGGAAAUGGGAUUCGUGCCAUACUCAUGGGAGUCCCAAGCUCCCUCGCCCAUUUCACUCCAUGAGGAUAGGAGGGGACAGCUGCUGACGACCUGGCAGAGACCCUGCGCCAGGCCCCACCCCACCGGCACCCUGAUCUUGCACUUCCGGCCUCGAGAAUGCCCCCGCCCGGGAGGGUCUGAGCCAGGCAGCCUCCCCGGGAGCCGGUGCUGACACGGCCAGAGAAACCAUUCCAGACCCGGACCCCACUGUCCCCAACACCUGCGGGCCAGUGACUCAGGGCGGUGGAGAGAGCCAAGAGGAAGUGGAGGCUGAGUGGCCCUCCCCGGGGCUGGGGCCCGCCGUCUGGUUGUGUCUCCAGCCGCUGGUUUAGGGGAAUCGGGAGGGCUCACUUAAGCAUCCCUUCCCUGCGUGCUCUUCCAUCGCGGGACAGAAGACCCGACUGCUGCCAGCACCAAAGGGUGUUCCCACGGCACACGCCGCUUGGGCUCGGGCAGGCAGGGACCCCUCCUCGUGCCUCGGGAGCCUGGAGCUGUCGGCCCUGCAGCUGAGGACCACAGGAGGUCAGGGACAUGCAAGCUCAGUGCCCGAAGUCACUUCUAGAGUGCGAUUCGGUGUCCCUGAAGGUCCCAACUCUGCCCUGACACAUUACAGAAAAUGUCGCUGCCCCCUGGUGUGGAUGCUGGCCCGCCCCCGGGGAGGCUUCUGCCCCAUCACCCAGCCCAGCCCAUCCCAUCCCAACAGGACUCAGCCUCCAGUGGCUACCAUCAGACCCCACGGCAUGGUGACUGUCACUGCAGAGGGCUAGAGAGGGCCGCGUGUGGGACGGCAGGGGCCGACGGGGGGCUCUGCAUUCCCCAGUAACCCAGGUUUCUGCUGGGGCUGCUCCCCAGCUGCUCUGCUCCCCAGCUCCCUACAACGCGGAUUUAUUCUUAUUUCCCACAGGGAAGGCCUAACAAGGCUUGACCAAUCAGUGAAGGGCAUUCCCCAGACUGCUGGCUGUGACUGGGUCCCAGAUAAGCACGUGACCCACUAUGGGCCAAUGAAAGUCGCCUGAGACUUUUGCUUGCAUGGUUGCUGGGACGGUCCAAAGUCCUCAGUGGGGACGGCUGGCUGCAGCUGUCAGACUUGGAGCGUGAGGACAGAGCUGGGCCGGUUCCUCCCUGGGAUCUCCCCUCCCCGAGCACAGGCUCUGCUCUGCCCAGCCCCAUGCUGUCCCCUGUGCGACCGCUGUGGGCUUCCUGCCAGGCUCCUGCACCCUCCGGCUUCUGUUGGGUUCAGUUCUGGGAGGCAGCCCCGGAGUCUGGAGGGUGGAAGGAGUGAGGGGCAUCCCCUGUCCCCUCCCCACAGUCUUGGCAGUGGUUUCUUCUCUCCAGAGUUACUGUCCCUACCCCCUGUCCUCUCUCUGCAGCUCCAGCUCUUGCUGGGCGCCUGUGAUUCUCACCCCUGUCCCUUCAGGCCGUGGGGAGAAGAACAUCCCAGUGCGGUCACUUCCUGGAUCCAAUUCCUGGAUGCCCAGUGUCCGCCGGGUCUCCUGGAUUCACCGUGGUCACUGCCUGGAUGCCCAGUGUCCACUGGGUCUCCUGGAUCCAAUUCCUGGAUGCCCAGUGUCCGCCAGGUCUCCUGGAUUCACUGUGGUCCCUGCCUGGAUGCCCAGUGUCCUCCAGGUCUCCUGGAUUCACUUCCUGAAUGCCCAGUGUCUGCUAGGUCUCCUGGAUCCACUUCCUGGAUGCCCAGUGUCUGCCAAAUCUCCUGAAUUCACUUCCUGGAUGCCCAGUGUCCACCAGGUCUCCUGGAUUCUGCCUGUGUCCACGUGAGGGCACCAUCAAUUUCCUGCAAGGAUCCUGACAGUCAAGGUACAUCUAACCUGAGAGCAGGCAGGGGCUGGACUAUCCCCUAGAUCAAGCCAUGCCUGAAGCCCCACCUUUCAGUUGCCUGAGUCAACAGAUUCCCUUUUUGGGUUGAGCCAUUUCUAAUUGGAUUUUAUGUCUUACUGACUGAACUAUCAGGAUGGCCAGCAGUAAGGGGUUUCGUUUUGGAGGAUGAGGGACACAAAUGUCUCUUCUCCAAGGUGAGGAGAUGCCUGAAGGACAGGAGACACUCACAGGAGGCCCUGGAGACAGAUGUGCCUCACAGGCAUUCCUGAGGACCUGUGGCCUGGCAGCACAGAGACUGGGUGAAAACAGAACCUUGUGAUCUGCAAGUUCUGCCGCUGCCCUGUCUGUGUCUGUGAAGCAAAGUGUCCAGAAGGGGCCCGCGUGGAAGCUUCUGAGAGCGGUUAGGGGAACGGGGCCCCACGUCCUCCCCGGAGGGCUGGAGACAGAGGCAGGCCGUGCCCCCAGCCCAGAGUAGGGAGGAGGCUGGCAGGCGGCAGCUGUGGAAAGGAGGCGGAGCCCCCAGACUCCUGAGCCAGCAGAGGAAGGAGUGGGACAGAGCCCACCCCAGAGGGAGACAAGACCCCGGGGAAGAGACCCCUCAGGGUGGCCCCCCAGCCCCUCCCAGGCUCAGCUUUCAGCCUGCACCCCCGUCUGGUCCCUCAGAAUGACUGAGGUUUCCACUCUUUUUCUGCCAAAUCUCUAGACUCCACGUCCCCGCUCUGCCACCUACUCUCUGUGGGAUCUGAAUAAAGAGACUUAACCUUU